UUGAACUUCCAAUCAAAGGAAAAGUUCAGUCGAAAAAGCCAGAGACAGAAGCCUAUUUUAGAUGUUGAACCCUUUCAUUAAAUUUCAAGUCUUAGUUUCCAUUUGUUAGCAACAAAUGAUUGCUAACAUUGCUUGCUUGUUUUCUGGGAUUUGUAUACACUUCGAUUGACAUUAGUAAUGAUCUGGGUUGCAGAAGCUGAAGUCACAAGGCUCUUAAUAGUUACAUGACAGUACUCUGUCAUGUACCACCCAGAGAUGUCGGUAAGGUUUUACAAGCUACUAGCACUUCUUACCACGUUGGGAAAGAUCAGAAAAAAAUCAUGCGAGAUGUAAUAGCAUGUGGAAGUCAUCUUGUAAUGCAUCUAUAAUAAGCAGCUAGAACCACUAGGCUUACUCGAGAAAUAAAAGGCUUCCCCUAAGUUACGUUGGCCAGCCUGCAUAAAAGCAGUCAUGCCAGUCUGGUAGGUUUUCAACCGUAGUUGUUGCCGUCCACUCAAACCUCAUGGCUUAUAAUGACUAAGGCUCCGUUUUGGACGAUGCCAAAUGGGCUCUAAGAAUCUUUCCUGCUCUUUCUCGAUGGCCGAGCCUCUAGUGCUGUACUUUUUACUGGCAUCACUAUUUUUACCGCUCUCUGGCUGCUAAGUAUUACUGAAUGUUACUAAGUUCAAUAUGAAAUAACCAUAGCAUGACACUUCCAAUUCCGCGGAACGAAACAGCAAGAAGAUAACAGUCCUCAAAAGAGCUUAAGGCAAGGGAGAAUAGUUAAAAGCCAUUGGGCAACAAAUCACCAUUCAAUCCAAUCUUGCUUGUUUCCCCAAAAACUUUCUGGGGGUUCAUCCAACCUCCUUUCCCCACCAUCUGAUUCGUAAAAUAAUGAUGAGGAGAUUUUAUUCUCAGCAGGAAAAAAAUUAUUGAACCCAAAGUAGAAAAACUCAGAGAAAAGAGGAGGGGGGGAGGAAGCAAAUAUCAAAUAAUCUAACACAAGGAGUUCCACCAGAUAAAUCCCCAAGCAGAAGUAUUCUGCAACAUCAACGACAUAUUUGGCUGACAUGAUACCAGAAAGGCAGAAACAGGUCUGCUUUUUUUUUUUUUUUUCUCUAAUCUACAAAC